rnacentral:rRNA from 1 species
CCUACGGGAGGCUGCAGUGGGGGAUAUUGCACAAUGGGGGAAACCCUGAUGCAGCGACGCCGCGUGAGUGAAGAAGUAUUUCGGUAUGUAAAGCUCUAUCAGCAGGGAAGAAAAUGACAGUACCUGACCAAGAAGCCCCGGCUAACUACGUGCCAGCAGCCGCGGUAAUACGUAGGGGGCAAGCGUUAUCCGGAUUUACUGGGUGGAAAGGGAGCGUAGACGGUUAUGUAAGUCUGGAGUGAAAGCCCGGGGGCCAACCCCGGGACUGCUUUGGAAACUGUGUAACUGGAGUAAAGGAGGGGCAGGCGGAAUUCCUGGUGUAGCGGUGAAAUGCGUAGAUAUCAGGAGGAACACCGGCGGCGAAGGCGGCCUGCUGGACUGAAACUGACGUUGAGGCUCGAAAGCGUGGGGAGCAAACAGGAUUAGAUACCCUUGUAGUC